AAACUUUCAACAACGGAUCUCUUGGUUCCGGCAUCGAUGAAGAACGCAGCAAAAUGCGAUAAGUAAUGUGAAUUGCAGAACUCAGUGAAUCAUCGAAUCUUUGAACGCACAUUGCGCCCGCCAGCAUUCUGGCGGGCAUGCCUGUCCGAGCGUCAUUU
rnacentral:rRNA from 1 species